UCCUUUAAGCGUCCACAGGCGGCGGAGCGGCCACAAUCACAGCUCCGGGCAUUGGGGGAGCCCGAGCCGGCUGCGCCGGGGGAAUCCGUGCGGGCGCCGUGCGUCCCGGUCCCAUCCUCGCCGCGCUCCCGCACCCCUGAAGUUUUGCAGCGCCCAGAAAGGAGGCGAGGGAGGAGGGAGCCUGAGAGGAGAGGGGGCAAAUAGCACACCCUAAAACAUUUAUUUCAAGGAGGAAAGAAAAAGGGGGGCGCAAAAAUGGCUGGGGCAAUUAUAGAAAACAUGAGCACCAAGAAGCUGUGCAUUGUUGGUGGGAUUCUGCUCGUGUUCCAAAUCAUCGCCUUUCUGGUGGGAGGCUUGAUUGCUCCAGGGCCCACGACGGCAGUGUCCUACAUGUCAGUGAAAUGUGUGGAUGUCCGUAAAAACCAUCACAAGACAAAAUGGUUAAUGCCUUGGGGACCCAACCAAUGCGACAAGAUCCGAGACAUCGAGGAAGCAAUUCCAAGGGAAAUUGAAGCCAAUGACAUUGUGUUUUCUGUCCACAUUCCCCUUCCCUCCAUGGAGAUGAGUCCUUGGUUCCAAUUCAUGCUGUUUAUCCUGCAGCUGGACAUUGCAUUCAAGCUGAACAACCAAAUCAGAGAAAAUGCAGAAGUAUCCAUGGAUGUGUCCCUGGCUUACCGUGAUGAUAUGUUUGCUGAAUGGACUGAAAUGGCCCAUGAGAGAGUGCCCCGGAAACUCAAAUGUACCUUCACAUCUCCCAAGACCCCAGAGUAUGAGGGUCGUUACUAUGAAUGUGAUGUCCUUCCUUUUAUGGAAAUCGGGUCUGUAGCUCAUAAGUACUACCUUCUGAACAUCCGGCUGCCUGUGAAUGAGAAGAAGAAAAUCAAUGUUGGAAUUGGGGAAAUAAAGGAUAUUCAGUUGGUGGGAAUCCAUCAAAAUGGAGGCUUCACCAAGGUGUGGUUUGCAAUGAAGACCUUCCUUACGCCCAGCAUCUUCAUCAUUAUGGUGUGGUAUUGGAGGAGGAUCACUAUGAUGUCCCGACCCCCAGUGCUUCUAGAAAAAGUUAUCUUUGCCCUUGGGAUUUCCAUGACUUUUAUCAACAUCCCGGUGGAGUGGUUUUCCAUUGGAUUUGACUGGACCUGGAUGCUGCUGUUUGGUGACAUCCGACAGGGCAUCUUCUAUGCGAUGCUUCUCUCCUUCUGGAUCAUCUUCUGUGGCGAGCACAUGAUGAAAGUAAACACACAAAUGUCAACAAUUACCACCAUUUCCUCUGCUUUGGCUUCAGCUCUUCUUGUCCCCAGGACCAAGGAUCAGCAUGAGCGGAAUCACAUAGCAGGGUAUUGGAAGCAAGUUGGACCAAUUGCUGUUGGCUCUUUCUGCCUCUUCAUAUUUGAUAUGUGUGAGAGAGGGGUACAACUCACGAAUCCCUUCUACAGUAUCUGGACUACAGAUGUUGGAACAGAGCUGGCUAUGGCCUUCAUCAUUGUGGCUGGCAUCUGCCUCUGCCUCUACUUCCUGUUUCUGUGCUUCAUGGUAUUUCAGGUGUUUCGGAACAUCAGUGGGAAGCAGUCCAGCCUGCCAGCCAUGAGCAAAGUCCGGCGGCUGCACUAUGAGGGGCUGAUUUUCAGGUUCAAGUUCCUCAUGCUGAUAACCUUGGCCUGUGCUGCUAUGACUGUCAUUUUCUUCAUCGUUAGUCAGGUGACUGAAGGCCACUGGAAGUGGGGCGGCGUCACAGUCCAAGUGAACAGUGCCUUUUUCACAGGCAUCUAUGGAAUGUGGAACCUGUAUGUCUUUGCUCUGAUGUUCCUAUAUGCACCAUCCCAUAAGAACUACGGGGAAGACCAGUCCAAUGAUGGAAAGAGACUCCGAGCAUGUUUGUGCACUGAGUAGCAGGAGCCAAGAAAGAAGGAGAAUAACAGAUGGAGCAAGACCUUGGCAGAAGUGAUCUGGGUGUCCACAGUGGGGAAGAACUCCAGCUCACCACCACCAUCACCCAUGUGGACGGACCCACCGAGAUCUACAAGCUGACCCGCAAAGAGGCCCAGGAGUAAGAGGCUGCAACACCUGGCUGGGACUGUCCCCCACAUCCCAGCCCCUCUAAGUAGAGCGGGGAGUGUGCCAGAAAGAGCUCAGGUGCAAAGGAAUGCUUGAGGCUCUUAGCUGGGGUUUCUUCUUGGAUCCGCGGCAUGGACGUUUGUCAGCUUGCCUUCUGACUGUAGCUCUCACAGGAGGAUUCCUGCAGCCACUAAUGCAUUGUGUAUAACAAAACCUCUGAUAUGACACAUUUUCUGUGAUCAUUGUUAAUUAGUGACAUAGUAACAUCUGUAGCAGGUGGUUAGUAAACCUCAUGUGUUGGGGGUGUUUUCCUCGGGGGAUGGUUUGGGCCAGAUGGGGUCUAUAUGGAGUGGAAUUAUUUGACUCUUUUUCCUGUUUUAGAUUCUAGGAUAGAUUUUAACAUUUUUGCAGCCCGGGAUAGGCUGAUGUCAUAGUCUUCUCAAUCCUAGUCUGUGACCACUUGUGUUUUUUUUUUUCCUAUUUAUAUCACCAAGUAGCCUAUUGAGUUAAUAUUUAAGUUGUCGAUAGAUAUGUGUCCCUAUUUUUUAUGGCAUAAUAUAAAAUAACUGAAUCUCAUGAGAAGGUCUGUUACGCCAGGGGCAUUUCAGCUUUGAAACCAAAUCUGUGUAUCCAAUACUAACCAGUCUGUUGGAUGUGGGUUUUAAAAAAAUGUUUGCUAAACUACCCAAGUAGGAUUUACUGUAUUAAAUGGCCUUUGGGUCUGAAAAGCUUUUUUAACCUCUUGCUUAAAAUGUGUUUUCUUUUGAUAAGAUGCUUCCAACAGCCUCCAAAAGUGUAGAUCUGAUCAUUUAAAUAAACCUGUACAUGUACGCA